UGAGCAAUCUGCCCUUCUCAUCGGAAUAAGCGUUGGAAACGACGUCUAAUGCCGAAUACGACCUCCUUUCGCAUGAUCGGAGGUGGAAAGCUCCGGCGGAGAAGGAUGAGCUCGCGGCCUAUCAGCUAGUUGGUGUGGGUAAUGGCCCACCAAGGCGACGACGGGUAGCCGGCCUGAGAGGGUGACCGGCCACGACCGGGACUGAGACACGGCCCAGACCUCCGUACGGGAGGNAGCG
rnacentral:rRNA from 1 species